UGCAGUCGAGCGAACUGAUUAAAGCUUGCUUCUAUGACGUUAGCGGCGGACGGGUGAGUAACACGUGGGCAACCUGCCUGUAAGACUGGGAUAACUCCGGGAAACCGGAGCUAAUACCGGAUAACAUUUUCUCUUGCAUAAGAGAAAAUUGAAAGAUGGUUUCGGCUAUCACUUACAGAUGGGCCCGCGGUGCAUUAGCUAGUUGGUGAGGUAACGGCUCACCAAGGCAACGAUGCAUAGCCGACCUGAGAGGGUGAUCGGCCACACUGGGACUGAGACACGGCCCAGACUCCUACGGGAGGCAGCAGUAGGGAAUCUUCCGCAAUGGACGAAAGUCUGACGGAGCAACGCCGCGUGAGUGAUGAAGGCUUUCGGGUCGUAAAACUCUGUUGUUAGGGAAGAACAAGUACAAGAGUAACUGCUUGUACCUUGACGGUACCUAACCAGAAAGCCACGGCUAACUACGUGCCAGCAGCCGCGGUAAUACGUAGGUGGCAAGCGUUAUCCGGAAUUAUUGGGCGUAAAGCGCGCGCAGGCGGUUUCUUAAGUCUGAUGUGAAAGCCCACGGCUCAACCGUGGAGGGUCAUUGGAAACUGGGGAACUUGAGUGCAGAAGAGAAAAGCGGAAUUCCACGUGUAGCGGUGAAAUGCGUAGAGAUGUGGAGGAACACCAGUGGCGAAAGCGGCUUUUUGGUCUGUAACUGACGCUGAGGCGCGAAAGCGUGAGGAGCAAACAGGAUUAGAUACCCUGG
rnacentral:rRNA from 1 species